ensembl:lncRNA
AAGCUCAGUAGAUGUCCUUACAAACAAGAAAUCUGGAGAAGGAAUUCACACUGAGGGAUCAGAGGACUGGGCUCAGCGACAAAUCUGUUGUUGACAGGAUCAGCAGAGAAAGUGUUUGCUUGUCUCGUCCUUGACUUCACUCACAGGGAUUCAUGUCUGUAUCUUAAGUGGUAAGGUAUGUAAAAGCAACAGCAGCAAAGACAGACAAACCAUCGGGAGUCAUCUGAGAACUUGCAUAUGCACAUAGGUCACAAACAGCAGAUUUCAUUCCCACCUCCCUUCAUUGCAGAUGUGAGGGUCCUCUGCCCAGCACCUGCCCACCCCUUUCUCUUUUUCUAACUAGCCCCAACUUGAACAGCAACCCUUCUUCGGUGAGAUAAAGAAGUUUGCCCUAGACAUUUGUCCUAUCCUAGUCUGAAGAUGGACUUACUGGCUACAAAGUGGCCUCACCCUUUGCCACUGGCAGGAUCAAGGUAACACUGGAGCUUGAACCAGUUGGCCUCAUCUUCGGAGCACAAGUACAUCAGUAAACCUGGCAGAGAAAAGGCACACAUUUUUCCAAGGAUGGGUCAGAAAAUGUGUGAUUCUUUUCCCCUUGCAGACUAUUGGCUCACUUAUUGCAAAGAGAAAAUCUCCUGAGACUCUGAAGCACAACUGAAUAACAUCCUAAGCUUGGUGUUUAUCAAAACUCUGGCAAAGCCAGGCCAGAAACAGACUCUGCUGGUGAGGUUGCCAGAAUUUGCUGUCUUCAUAGGACUGGACUAUCUCGGGAAGAGUGUAUUCAUGACUGGGACCAGCUGGAUCUAACUGGAGAAUGCUGUAAAAAUGGAAAACAAGCAAACAAGCAGGAAGAGUGAGAGCUGUUUGGAGCUUCAAGAGAGACUGAUGAUCGUAUUGGCGACUAAAAACCAAGUGGACUUGUUCCUCCCUUUAAUAUCCUGGCAACAAAUCCAAAAAGGUUUAUUCUUCAUGCUUUUGAUAGGGCUUCAGAGAACAGACCCGCACGCAUGCCAUCACUGUUGUUGGCUCCCAAACAAACCUAUGCAGCAGCUCAGGGCCACAGUAUGCUAUGUAUCUAUCUCAGCCAUUGCUAAAUGGCUGUGUGUCAACAAGCUGGAGAAAACCAUGAAGCAACCUAUGGUAAAUAACAGUCUGACUAUGAAUCAUCUUCUUCUGUGCUACAGAGGGUUACCCUCAGCCAUUUCAAAGAAGUGGGCAAUAAAUCUAUUUGGAGAAAAGGAUUUGAAGAGUCACUAAAGAAUGUUAACCUAACUCUGAGAUAAACAUAGUUGAUCAAAGCCCAACUCUUCCAACCUCCUUCUUUUGUGUGUUGUUGUGUGGCAUAAGGCUAGGAGUGAAACUAUUUUCUAGGCUACCUUGCAGCUAGAGUCCUGACUAUCAUUUGGAUUUUACUCAGUAGAAUCACUGUUGAAAGAUCUGAGGUGGAUGGUGAGAUGAAUGCUGUUUAUCUUUUCUGUUAUUAGCAUUAGCCCAGAUUCUACUCACUAGUUUCUUGGGAGGUUUGUGGCAGGCUUCAAGUCUUGCAAGUAUGGAUUGCUAUAGGCACAAGAGCUGGCAAAUGGUGGACUUUCUGAUGAUGGCACAUCCCUGACCCUAUCAGUAUCUUUUAUGCCCUGUUUACCUAUGUUCUCCCUCUUUUUUAUUGUAUUCAUUUAUGUUUAUGUGUGUG